rnacentral:rRNA from 1 species
GACGAACGCUGGCGGCGUACUUAACACAUGCAAGUCGAACGGAAAGGCCCUGCUUUUGUGGGGUGCUCGAGUGGCGAACGGGUGAGUAACACGUGAGUAACCUGCCCUUGACUUUGGGAUAACUUCAGGAAACUGGGGCUAAUACCGGAUAGGAGCUCCUGCUGCAUGGUGGGGGUUGGAAAGUUUCGGCGGUUGGGGAUGGACUCGCGGCUUAUCAGCUUGUUGGUGGGGUAGUGGCUUACCAAGGCUUUGACGGGUAGCCGGCCUGAGAGGGUGACCGGCCACAUUGGGACUGAGAUACGGCCCAGACUCCUACGGGAGGCAGCAGUGGGGAAUAUUGCACAAUGGGCGGAAGCCUGAUGCAGCAACGCCGCGUGCGGGAUGACGGCCGUCGGGUUGUAAACCGCUUUCGCCUGUGACGAAGCGUGAGUGACGGUAAUGGGUAAAGAAGCACCGGCUAACUACGUG